UUACUGCUUUCACUGGAAGGCUAUUCCAGGUAUCUACUACCCUUUCUAUAUCACUGUUACAGAUCCCACUGGAAGGCUAUUCCAGGUAUCUACUACCCUUUCUAUAUCACUGUUACUGCUCCCACUGGAAGGCUAUUCCAGGUAUCUACUACCCUUUCUAUAUUGCUGUUACUGCUCCCACUGGAAGGCUAUUCCAGGUAUCUACUACCCUUUCUAUAUCACUGUUACCGCUCCCACUGGAAGGCUAUUUCAG